rnacentral:lncRNA from 1 species
GGGAAGGACAAAGCAGAAACCAAGGCAUUUCCGUCCUUUCACUAUUUAUGAACAGUGAACUCUCUCAUAUGAUGAACAAUGUUUUUCUGCUGAGCUUUAAUUGAUAUAAAUUGGAUACAGGUUUAGCAGCACCAGUGCUAUAGAACCCCAAUUCAGGCUGGAGUUUUAUCAGAAGGAUUCCCCGUUUCAAUUCAAGUUGUGAGUUGUUAAUCACUUAUACUUUGGUUCACUAUUUCUUUCUUUGUUUCCAUGUAUAAACACAUGAUCAUGAUCUACCAAUAAUAAAAUCUGUUUUGGAUAAAUUGACAGAUUGAGCAUGGCAGCAGAGAUCAACCCAGUAGAAAACCCAGGUAUCUAUCAUGAAAAUCAAAGUAUUAAAUAUAUAUGAAAGGUUCUCUUUGUUUCCUUUUGUGUAAGGAAUACAUGGCCAAUCACUCUUGAAUUUAAUAUCAAGGGUGAAACUGUGAAGAAUAAAUGGAUGUGCUUUCAAGAUUUUAUAUCUAUCAAAUUCAAGGAUUGGUGACCAUGAAUCAUUGACCAUCAGGUGACCAAAAGAACGAGAUUCGACAUGUUUAUCAAUAUCUUGUGAAUUAUUUUCUUUUAUUUUUCUGUUUAAAAUUUUAAUUUUAAUUUUUUUUCCCUAUAAUCCAUUGUUUCACAACAAGGUUAUCUCAAAACCUUGAUAUCAAAUUACGGAUUAGAGAUUGUUGGGUGUUGAGUGAUAAAAGUUUUUUUUUACCUUCGUUGAGUGAUAAAAGUUGGGUGUGAAGAGAUUGUUGUGUAUAAAUAGAAACUAGAUUUAAGUUACUUUUUGCUACAUUACUUUAAUCUUUACUUUAGCAAAGUGAAAGGGAAGAAAUCAUGUACCGAAUCCAAAGCUGAUGAGAGACGUGAGGCCGGGAAGGACAAAACUGACUUAUUACUGUAGCAAAGUGUCAACAGUACGGGACCAAAGCAAAAAACCAAGGGUAUUUCCAUCCUUUCACUGCUGAUGAACAGAGCACUCUCUCAUAUGAUGAACAGUGCCUUCUGCUGAGCUUAGUAGGUAUAAAUUGGAUACAGGUUUAGCAGCACCGGUGCUAUAGAACCCCAAUUCACACUGAGGUUUUAUCUGAAGGCUUCCCCGUUUCAAUUCAAGUUGUGAGUUGUUAAUUACUUAUACUUUGGCUCACUAUUUCUUUCUUUGUUUCCAUGUAUAAACACAUGAUCAUGAUCUACCAAUAAUAAAAUCUCUUUUGGAUAAAUUGACAGAUUCAGCAUGGCAGCAGAGAUCAAGCCAGUAGAAAACCCAAGUAUCUAUCAUGAAAAUCAAAGUAUUAAAUAUAUAUGAAAGGUUCUCUUUGUUUCCUUUUACGUAAGAAAUACAUGGUCAGUCACUCUUGAAUUUAAUAUUAAAGAUGGAAUCGUAGAGAAUAAAUGGAUGUGCUUUCAAGGUUUUAUAUCAAACCUUGAUAUCAAAUUCAGGGAUUGGUAACCAUGAACCAUUGACCAUCAGGCGACUAAGAGAACGAGAUUUCUCAUGUUUAUUAAUAUCUUGUGUAUUAUUUACUUUUAUCGUUUUAUUUAAAAUUUUAAUUUUAAUUUUUUUUCCCUAUAAUCCAGUGUUUCACAAUAAGGUUAUCUUAAAACCUUGAUAUCAAAUUAAGUAUUAGAGAUUGUUGGGUGUUGAGUGAUAUAAGUUGGGUGUGAAGAGAUUGUUGUGUAUAAAUAGAAACUAGAUUUAAGUCUUAGCAUUCUAUGUACUUGGAAGUAAUUUACUUGAAGUUACUUCAGAAGAAUUGAAGAAGGAAAGGUUCGGGA